rnacentral:rRNA from 1 species
CAGUAGCCGCGGGAAUACGAAGGGUGCAAGCGUUAAUCGGAAUUACUGGGCGUAAAGCGUGCGUAGGCGGUUUGUUAAGUCUGUUGUGAAAUCCCCGGGCUCAACCUGGGAAUGGCAAUGGAUACUGGCAAGCUAGAGUGUGUCAGAGGAUGGUGGAAUUCCCGGUGUAGCGGUGAAAUGCGUAGAGGUCGGGAGGAACAUCAGUGGCGAAGGCGGCCAUCUGGGACAACACUGACGCUGAGGCACGAAAGCGUGGGGAGCAAACAGGAUUAGAUACCCGCGUAGUCCCUGUCUCUUAUAC